GAUGAACGCUGGCGGCGUGCCUAAUACAUGCAAGUAGAACGCUGAAGGAGGAGCUUGCUCUUCUGGAUGAGUUGCGAACGGGUGAGUAACGCGUAGGUAACCUGCCUGGUAGCGGGGGAUAACUAUUGGAAACGAUAGCUAAUACCGCAUGACAACAGUUAUUGCAUGAUAACUGUUUAAAAGGGGCAACUGCUCCACUACCAGAUGGACCUGCGUUGUAUUAGCUAGUUGGUGAGGUAACGGCUCACCAAGGCGACGAUACAUAGCCGACCUGAGAGGGUGAUCGGCCACACUGGGACUGAGACACGGCCCAGACUCCUACGGGAGGCAGCAGUAGGGAAUCUUCGGCAAUGGACGGAAGUCUGACCGAGCAACGCCGCGUGAGUGAAGAAGGGUUUCGGAUCGUAAAGCUCUGUUGCAAGAGAAGAACGAGUGUGAGAGUGGAAAGUUCACACUGUGACGGUAUCUUGCCAGAAAGGGACGGCUAACUACGUG
rnacentral:rRNA from 1 species